rnacentral:rRNA from 1 species
CCAAUAGCGUAUAUUAACGUUGUUGCCGUUAAAAAGCUCGUCUUUGAACUUCGGGGUUCACCCAUUGGUCAGGCUUAAUUGUCUGCACUGGUGAGAUGAGUCUCUACCUUCUGAGGAACUUUCAUGCCAUUUAUUUGGUGUGGUUGGAAAUCAGGACUGUUACUUUGAAAAAAUUAGAGUGUUUAAAGCAGGCUAACGUCUGAAUACAUUAGCAUGGAAUAAUGAAAUAGGACGGACUGAUUCUAUUUCGUUGGUUUCUAGGAUCACCGUAAUGAUUAAUAGGGAUAGUUGGGGGCAUUAGUAUUCAAUUGUCAGAGGUGAAAUUCUUGGAUUUAUUGAAGACUAACUACUGCGAAAGCAUUUGCCAAGGAUGUUUUCAUUAAUCAAGAACGAAAGUUAGGGGAUCGAAGACGAUCAGAUACCGUCGUAGUCUUAACCAUAAACUAUGCCGACUAGGGAUCGGACGAAGUUAAUUUUAUAAUGACGCGUUCGGCACCUUACG